AGAACGAACGCUGGCGGCAGGCUUAACACAUGCAAGUCGAACGCUCGUAGCAAUACGGGAGUGGCAGACGGGUGAGUAACGCGUGGGAACAUACCCUCCGGUUCGGAAUAGCUCAGGGAAACUUGGAUUAAUACCGGAUACGGCUGAGAGGCGAAAGAUUUAUCGCCGGAGGAUUGGCCCGCGUUCGAUUAGCUAGUUGGUGAGGUAAUGGCCCACCAAGGCUACGAUCAGUAGCUGGUCUGAGAGGAUGAUCAGCCACACUGGGACUGAGACACGGCCCAGACUCCUACGGGAGGCAGCAGUAGGGAAUCUGCGCAAUGGGCGAAAGCCUGACGCAGCCAUGCCGCGUGAAUGAUGAAGGUCUUAGGAUUGUAAAAUUCUUUCAGCGGGAAGAUAAUGACUGUACCCGCAGAAGAAGCUCCGGCUAACUUCGUGCCAGCAGCCGC
rnacentral:rRNA from 1 species